AAGGGUAAAAUGCUGCUCAGCAGUGGGGAGCAAGGAGGAAAAAGUGUGAGAAACCGCUGUGCAAAGUGUAAGGUUAAACAUAGACUUAGGAAUGCCAUCCUGAGAUUUUUCCCGAGUCUGGGUAUUUGUGAGUGGCAGCAAGUGCGGGAGGAUAUGGAUUGGUAUCUAGAGCAGUGGAUAACUCCAGUGUUUUUGAAAUUCACCCCUGAACAACUGGAAAUUCCUAAAAAACUGGUAGAACACUUGAAAAAGGGAUGUCAUGACUCUGGCAAUUCCAAAGAGACACAAUUCGCUGUAGCGUGCCAUGGUCUGGCCUAUGCCUGUCGAGCUUCAAUCGAUGCUACUAUAACUCUAGUGACAGACCCUGUGGCCACUCCAAGUCCUGAGACAGGCCCGAUGGCCCCUGCAGCCCCUGCAGCCACUCCAACCCCUACAAUGGACCCUGCGGCCACUGCAGUCCCUGCAGUCACUCCAACCUCUGCAGCCACGUCAGCCCCUGUGGCCUCUCCAGCUCCUGUGGCUACUCCAGCCCCUGCAGCUUCUCCAGCCCCUGUGGCUACUGCAGCCCCUGUGGUUUCUUCAGCCCCUGCGGUCUUUCCAGCUCCCAUGGCUUCUCCAGCUCCUGUGGCCACUCCAGCUCCUGCGGCCAGUCCAACCCCUGUGAUUGGCCCAGCGGUGGUUCCAGCUCCUGUGACAAGCCCAGCAGUCAUUCCAGCCCCUGUGGCAGGUCUUGUGGCUGGGGCAGAGAAAUGA
rnacentral:lncRNA from 1 species